rnacentral:rRNA from 1 species
AACGAACGCUGGCGGCAGGCCUAACACAUGCAAGUCGAACGCUCUAGCAAUAGAGAGUGGCAGACGGGUGAGUAACGCGUGGGAAACUUCCUAGGGGUACGGAAUAGCUCAGGGAAACUUGGGGUAAUACCGUAUGAUGCCGUAAGGCCAAAGAUUUAUCGCCCUUAGAUGUGCCCGCGUCGGAUUAGCUAGUUGGUGAGGUAACGGCUCACCAAGGCGACGAUCAGUAGCUGGUUUGAGAGAAGAACCAGCCACACUGGGACUGAGACACGGCCCAGACUCCUACGAGAGGCAGCAGUGGGGAAUCUUGGACAAUGGGCGAAAGCCUGAUCCAGCCAUGCCGCGUGAGUGACGAAGGCCUUAGGGUUGUAAAGCUCUUUUGCCGGGGACGAUAAUGACGGUACCCGGAGAAGAGGCCCCGGCUAACUUCGUGCCAGCCGCCGCAGUAA